UAAAACUUACUUUGUAGAACUUAGAAAAUAGCUUCUUCGUUUUUCUUAAUUUUGUAUGUGUCCUUUCAAGCAGAAAGAAUGCUGGUACAGAUUGAAAGUGUUCACACAGUUUUCUUCCUGUGUGCUUGCCAAAGGUGCAGGGAAGACAGAUUUUUAAAAGUUGUGUGCUAGCUAUACCAGUGCAGUCAAGAGGGAUCUGGAAAGCUUUUAUGAAAUGUAGCUUUUACAAACUCUGUUAGAACUUGGAGAUUGAUACACUUUACAAGUUCCCUUUAAAGUAUUUCAUGGAGCAAUCUAGUUAAUGCAUCAGCAUCUGACAAAGCACUUUUUAGAAGCCAGUAAAAGAGGUGGGAGGGGUUAGUCUUAUACAAUUUUAUUUCUAAGCUAGAGUUUAUUCUAAAAUAUACUUAUAAUAUACCAAAAUAGACAUUAGUAGUUUUUGUGUGCUAUAUCAGCUUCCCAUAAUUCUGCUUUUUUUUUUUUUUUUUUAGCUAACCAGCUAUAAAAAUUGACAUACUGUGCUUGCUAAAGUCAGAACUGACUACCUUUAUUUUCUUGCCUUUCACUGCAUUCUCCUUACUCUUCAUCACUCCAAUAGAAGCAUCAAUAUUGCAGAACCAAGCAACUGUCUUUGGUUUGGUUUGUCUUCAUGACUGCGGGGGGGGGAGUGCACUUCAUAUGAACAAAUGCGAAUCAACCUAGUAGAAGCAGUAAUUGGUGUCUUAGAUUAAGUAAAAAGGAUGUAAACCAGAACUUGAUGCUGAGAGUCCCUAACUGCACUUCUAAGUUUCCAGAACUGCAGUCUUAAACAUGAAUGCAACUGUUACUUCAAGAGAGGAGCAGUCAAGGUGUAUUCUCUUAAUUCUUCUUCAUCUGACCACAAAGUAACCUCAACUGAGUUGAGUGAAUUAACUGAAUAUGCCUGAAGCAAAUAAUAAGUUUCAGUUGUUUUUUCGAACAGCAUUCCUGACUUCUGUGUAUGUGUGGAGAGCCUGCUCCUAUGGAAUUUCUGUUGUGCAUCUUCAGCAGAGCUCUUGCUUUCAGGGGUUCGGAAGAAUCUAA
rnacentral:lncRNA from 1 species